GGAGACGUGGCCGAGUGGUCGAAGGCGCUCCCCUGCUAAGGGAGUAAACCGGAAACGGUUUCGUGGGUUCGAAUCCCAUCGUCUCCG
rnacentral:tRNA from 2 species